GACAGAGGGUGCAAACGUUGUUCGGAAUUACUGGGCGUAAAGAGCGCGCAGGCGGUCGUUCAAGUCGCGUGUGAAAGCCCCCGGCUCAACUGGGAGGGUGCGCCGAAGACUGGAAGGCUUGAGUAUGGGAGAGGUAAGCGGAAUUCCUGGUGUAGCGGUGAAAUGCGUAGAUAUCAGGAGGAACACCUGCGGUGUAGACGGCUUACUGGACCAUAACUGACGCUGAGGCACGAAAGCGUGGGUAGCAAACAGG
rnacentral:rRNA from 1 species